rnacentral:rRNA from 1 species
GACAGAGGUGCCGAGCGUUAGGCGGAAUCACUGGGCUUAAAGCGUGUGUAGGCGGGCGAUCAAGUACCUUGUGAAAUCCCACGGCUCAACCGUGGAACCGCUGGGUAUACUGGUUGUCUUGAGCCGGCUAGGGGCGAGCGGAACAGACGGUGGAGCGGUGAAAUGCGUAGAUAUCGUCUGGAACGCCGAAGGUGAAAACAGCUCGCUGGGGCCGCGCUGACGCUGAGAACACGAAAGCCAGGGGAGCGAACGGG